GUCAAUUAAAUGUCUUUUCUUCAUAAAUUACCCAGUAUCAGGUAGUUCUUUAUAGCAUUGUGAGAAUGGACUAAGACAAUUGUGGAAUGUUGACAGCAUUGUCACCUCCUUCUUCUUGGGAUAAAUGCUGCAGCCACAAGUGCUACCAGUGAGUAUUCCCAGGGCAAAUGGGAAAAGGUUUUGAAGCAAAGCAUAAAAAUUAAUAUAAAAAAUUGAGAGUAUUGGGUAUUUAUUCCCUUAUAGAUUCGGGGUGCCACAAGGAAGAGUGGGAUAACUCAUUAGAGGGUUAGAGAAGGGUGAGGGAAUUAAAUUGGAGCAAGGCCUGUAUGAAGAGUUUUUGGGUUAGUUAGCUGGAGGGAAAUAGGGAAGCCAGCGCUGUAGCUGUGCAGGAAUCCAGGUAUAGAAUAGUGGCUCUAAGGAUGGACUGUUAUAAUAAGAAAAUGAACCAUAUAUUCAGCACUUACGAAGUGCUAGAACUGCACUGCACCAUCAUUUCAUACCUAAAACAAUCUUAGGAAAUAGGGAUGGCUAUUCUCCCUGCUAUUUAGCUUCAAUAGUGGGAUCUUAAGAGAUAUGACUAGUUUAAGGUAAAGAGCUUAAAGAUGCUUUUUAAUUGCUCUGGUGUAUUACCUUUAAAUCUAAACCUAAAAGGUAGAUUUGUAGACUCAUUGGACACUGAAAUAAUAGGAGUGUAACUGACAGAAUGAGAGCAGUCAGGAAGAACAGCUAAGUUUUGAAUGAGUGGCAGAGGGAGCUGAACACUGGGGCAGAGUGUGUGACAUUUUCAUCUGUGAGGAUCAUCUGGAAAGAGGGUUCAUUCCAGUGGAGAGAGGGGAGGACUGAGAGCCAGGAGUCAAGGGUUCCUAUCCUGUCCCCCAUCCCCAUCUAUCUAUCUAGGGAGCAAUGUUGUGACAAUCCCUUCUCCAAUGUGAGCUCUCUACUUCCUCUAAAUCUAGUAAGAUUAGUCUAGAUUGGUAGUUCACAUUUUCGAGUUAAAGAGCCAUCCAUGGUACACUAAUUUAUACAGUCAAUAAGGCUGAGGAAUGAGGCUAGGUGGGAAGGAGAGGGUGGAACUUUAUUAAUUGAUUCUGGUUUUCCCUCCUCAUUGCUUCACCAGCACCUCUCACCCACCCCCACCAGGGUGCCUUUCUUCUUGACAUCCAGCAAACAAACCACCCCAAACUCUCAAGGGGUCUUUUGACAGUUUAAAAAUCACUGGCUUAGCUUUGUCUCUUCUUCUCUCCCUGUAUGGCCCCUUCACAUCCCAACUCUUUUCUUUUUUAUUUUUCAAGAUAACCCCAAUUAUGAUCGUGCCCUUGUGACCACUGAGGGCACAGUGACCUACGAAUCUGGAUAUUUGCAUUUUGACUUUGUGUCUGGGAAGACUUUGUUCCCUGUAUCUCAUGAGAGCAGGGAGUUAACACUUAUGCUUUGAAUGCCUUCACUUCUUUUUGGGCCAUUGAGGCUAAAUAGCUCCAAUCGUGGAUCAAGGUGAUUUGGAUGAACAGUAACAACUAUUUUUUUUUUUUCUUAAUUUAUGUUGCUUCUAGGGUACCUCAUAGUAUCUGGAUGAAGACUGUUUACACACAUAUGUGCGCGCACACACACACAGCUCCCAGCUCCAAUUGGUAAAAAUAACGUUUACUAGGAAGGAGUGGAGUGUGAUGGCAGAGUAGGAUUCUCCAGUGAUUGUCCCUGAACAGAAAAAUUGAUUUGUAGCAAUUACCCAUACAGGAAAAAUCGUCACAAGAGCUAAAUAAACCAGGCAGUGUUCCCCACACUAGAGAUACAGAGUUGAAAAAGACACACAGGAUCCCUACUUUAUGAAGCUUACUUUCUUGUAGGCUCCAGAGAGAGUCAUCCUGAUGGAACCUACUGACCAGGAGGACACAAAAGAAAAGAGGGAAGAGAUGAAAGAAGAGAUUUCAAAAGACUCCUCAGCAUCGUGGAGAUACAUGAGAAGGCAAGAGUGAUCAGGACAGCCACUGUUUCCCUUUGGACCAUUCCUUCUUGAGGGUAACUGAAGAGGUCAAAUGGCUCACUUCUCAUUGUGGAUCAAAGCUAGUUUUAUCAUCAUGUUGGCAUUUUAUCUUUGUUCUGAUAUUGCAUUGUCUGAGUUGCCUGCUGUGUUGGCUGAGGUAAGUUACCUCUAAUUUUUGAGAAAGUAGAAAACAAUUUUUAAAAAGUUGUUAGUCAAAAACUAACUGUUAACAUGGAAAAUGUUCACAACAAAAAUUGUGUAUUACAACGUAAAACACUAGGUUAUUGCUUCUCCAGGAGAAGAUACAGCAAUGUCAGCAUUCCAGAAGUGUUUUUAUUUAUGCAGACAUUUCUCCUUAUUUACCAGCUCGGUGGUACUCUAUUUUGUAGAAUUCGAAGAGAUAAUUCAAUCUUUUAUAUUUCAGCAUUUAAAUUGUUUCCAAGAUUUUGCAAUUACAGGUCAUGUUUCAGUGAAUAAUCUGUGCAUAUAUAUUUGCAAAGUAAACUUCUAGCUGUGAGAAUGCUAGUAUGAAAUGUAAAAAUAUAGGUAAUUUUGUUAUACGUUUUACAAUAUUGGAAACAAUAUCCUCUUUAAGAGUGUUCCUAGUUUUUAUACCCAUUAACAAUGAGUGUCUUGAUCUCCAUAGUCUGUCACCAUAGUGGGCUGUCAAAAUUUUUCUGUUUAUUUGGAUACAUUUAUAUGUUACAUGCAUAGAUUGUGUAGUGGUGAAGCUAGGGCUUUUAGGCUAUCCUUUACACAAAUAAGGUACAUUGUACCCAUUAAGUCAUUUCUCAUCAUUCUUCCCCACUCCCUCACUCUUCCAUGUGUCUCUAUCUCUAUCCUUCCAUACUCUAUGUCCACAAGUAUACAUUAUUUAGCUGCUACUUAUAAGUGGGAACAUGUGGUAUUUGUCUUUCUUCAUUUGACUUUCAUGUAAGAUGGCCUCCAGUUCUAUCCAUGCAAA